UGGGGUGAGGGGAGGAGCUACACAUGCUCGGGUCUGGAGGCUGUUGAGGGAAUACUCUGCCCCCACACCUGGAAACCAUGUGUUUGAUACCAUUCCACUCCAGCCAUUACCACGAGCCCAUCCUCCCCAAUUAAGGUGCCACCAACCUCCUGUGCUAAGCACCAUAAACUCAGAGGCUUACUCACCUCAGUAACGACACUGGUAUUUUACUCUCACCUUGAAGAAGUAUAAAUUACACCGAUCAGUCUUCCUACAUUUGCUGGUAUUAUUAUCAACAUACAGUAUAUAUAAUUACUACACAUUCUAAACCUGAACGUGGCCAUGCUUCCACGUGCCACAAGGGGGUGCUAAAGUUCAGCGGUAGCAUUGUUUAUCGAACGUGAGGUGUCACACUUUGCAAGAAUACCAGUUAUGCUUCAUAUAGGGCUGACCUAAACUGUACUGUACCGUUCAGGUUUUCUUCUCGUUUCACAUUGUCCGUUCCAGCAGCUAUGGUGGACGUGUAACCAGGCCAGUUUGGUUUGGUCUUCUAGUGGGAAUCAGACAUAAGAGUAACAAAGGAACCAGGGAAGAACCUUCUCCAGCACCUUCCUGCCAGCAUGUUAAAGGGAAAACAAAUACAAGAAACAUCAGAUUUAACAAAAAAAGCAGUUUCAUUUAUUGAUCCUAUUUUUUUUAUUUUUUAUGUUUAUUUAUUAUAUUUGAUCUAUUUCUUUGAAAAAUAAGGGAUGUUUAUAUUAUAACCAAACCAGUUCAUUAUUUUGCACCUCUUUGUAGUGUAACUCACAGAAGUCUUCUUCCAGCAUUAUAACCAAGCGUCCCUUAGUAAAGGUGUCAUCCCUAAUAGACCCCUAUUCCCUAACCAAGCAUCCCUUAGUAAAGGUGUCAUCCCUUAGUAAAGGUGUCAUCCCUAAUAGAGCCCUAUUCCCUAACCAAGCAUCCCUUAGUAAAGGUGUCAUCCCUUAGUAAAGGUGUCAUCCCUAAUAGAGCCCUAUUCCCUAACCAAGCAUCCCUUAGUAAAGGUGUCAUCCCUUAGUAAAGGUGUCAUCCCUAAUAGAGCCCUAUUCCCUAUAGUACUCUUUGUGUAUUGAAGUGAUGGUGGUGAUUAUUGCUAUGAAAGGAGCCUGAUCUUCCUACCCUUGUUACUGAGUUACUACAGCAUAUAUAUAUAUAUAUAUACAGAGAUGCAGUGUAUUAUUCAACUCUAUGUUAGAGGUGACAUUGACUACAAUGAUCUAAGCACAUUCUAUGGUGCGUUGUGUUCCACUUCCUCCUCCGAAGCAUGUUUACUGUUUAUGUCCGUCUGAACAUGUGCCACCGUAUAUCCCUUUGGUUGGCAUCCUAAAUGGCACACUAGUGCCUAUGUAGUGCACUACUUCUGACCAGAAAUAAAGCGGUAUAUAGGCUGAUAGGGUGUCAUUUGGGACAAACACCUUGUUAGAAUGUUCCGUUUUUAAAUUUUUUUUUAAUGCAUCUUCAUUUUACAUUCAACUGUUUUAGACUUUUACAUUUUGUACAACCAUUUAUUUAUCGUUGUUAUUUUCUUCUUCAGUACACUAUGAAGGCUAUUGAGGUAAUAUGUCUGAUCCUGUAUUAAUCCUAUUGCUAUUUCCUUGUCUUUCAUUUCAAUGUGUUUUUCAUUUCAUUCAGUGUCUAAGUUUAAAUUUUCUUUGAGGGAAAGACAACUUUGCUCAGUCACACUGUUAUAAUGUUGUGUUAUUAUGAUUAUAGCACUUUCAUAAACAGUUUAGAUUCAGUCAGAAGUUAGGCCUUGGUUAAGAUACGUUUUUCAAGUCAGUCAGAAGUUAGGCCUUGGUUAAGAUACGUUUUUCAAGUCAGUCAGAAGUUAGGCCUUGGUUAAGAUACGUUUUUCAAGUCAGUCAGAAGUUAGGCCUUGGUUAAGAUACGUUUUUCAAGUCAAUCAGAAGUUAGGCCUUGGUUAAGAUACGUUUUUCAAGUCAGUCAGAAGUUAGGCCUUGGUUAAGAUACGUUUUUCAAGUCAGUCAGAAGUUAGGCCUUGGUUAAGAUACGUUUUUCAAGU